rnacentral:rRNA from 1 species
AUUGAACGCUGGCGGCAGGCUUAACACAUGCAAGUCGAACGAGUGGCGGACGGGUGAGUAAUGCUUGUGACUCUAGCUUAUGGAGGGGGAUAACUACGGGAACCUGUAGCUAAUACCGCGUACCAUAGGAUGAGCCCAAGUGUGAUUAGGUAGUUGGUGAGGUAAAGGCUCACCAAGCCGACGAUCUCUAGCUGGUCUGAGAGGAUGACCAUCCACACGGGGACGGAGACACGGCCCAGACUCCUACGGGAGGCAGCAGUGGGGAAUAUUGCGAAAUGGGGGCAACCUGACGCAGCCAUGCCGCGUGAAUGAAGAAGGCCUUCGGGUUGUAAAGUUCUUUCGGUAGCGAGGCGUUAACUACAGAAGAAGCACCGGCUAACUCCGUGCCAGCCGCCGCGGUAAUAC